rnacentral:tRNA from 1 species
GCCGGGGUGGCUGAGUGGGUAAAGCGCCGGCCUCGAGAGCCGGUGCCCCUCCGCGGGCUCCCGGGUUCGAGUCCCGGCCCCGGCG